rnacentral:rRNA from 1 species
AGUGAACGCUGGCGGUAGGCCUAACACAUGCAAGUCGAACGGCAGCACAGUAAGAGCUUGCUCUUACGGGUGGCGAGUGGCGGACGGGUGAGGAAUACAUCGGAAUCUACUUUUUCGUGGGGGAUAACGUAGGGAAACUUACGCUAAUACCGCAUACGACCUACGGGUGAAAGCAGGGGAUCUUCGGACCUUGCGCGAUUGAAUGAGCCGAUGUCGGAUUAGCUAGUUGGCGGGGUAAAGGCCCACCAAGGCGACGAUCCGUAGCUGGUCUGAGAGGAUGAUCAGCCACACUGGAACUGAGACACGGUCCAGACUCCUACGGGAGGCAGCAGUGGGGAAUAUUGGACAAUGGGCGCAAGCCUGAUCCAGCCAUACCGCGUGGGUGAAGAAGGCCUUCGGGUUGUAAAGCCCUUUUGUUGGGAAAGAAAAGCAGCAGGUUAAUACCCCGCUGUUCUGACGGUACAGAAAGAAUAAGCACCGGCUAACUUCGUG